UGCCAGCCGCCGCGGUAAUACUGAAGGUGCAAGCGUUAAUCGGAAUCACUGGGCGUAAAGGGCGUGUAGGCGGAUGCAUUAGUCAGGGGUGAAAGCCAUGGGCUCAACCUGUGAACUGCCUUUGAUACUAUGCAUCUAGAGUCUGUGAGAGGAUGGCGGAAUACCCAGUGUAGAGGUGAAAUUCGUAGAUAUUGGGUAGAACACCAGUGGCGAAGGCGGCCAUCUGGCACAGAACUGACGCUGAGGCGCGAAAGCGUGGGGAGCAAACAGGAUUAGAUA
rnacentral:rRNA from 1 species